rnacentral:rRNA from 1 species
UGAGGAAUAUUGGGCAAUGCCCGCAAGGGUGACCCAGCAACGCCGCGUGGAGGAUGAAUGUCGUAAGAUUGUAAACUCCUGUUAGAGGGGAAGAAUAGUACCGGUUGGACCGGUAUAUGACUGUACCCUCAGAGAAAGCCCCGGCUAACUACGUGCCAGCAGCCGCGGUAAUACGUAGGGGGCAAGCGUUGUCCGGAUUUACUGGGUGUAAAGGGCGCGCAGGCGUGAUAAAAAGUCAGUGGUGAAAUCCUACAGCUUAACUGUAGAACUGCCUUUGAUACUUUUAUUCUUGAGUUCGGGAGAGAGAGACGGAAUUCCAGGUGUAGUGGUGAAAUACGUAGAUAUCUGGAAGAACACCAGUUGCGAAGGCGGUCUCUUGGUCCGACACUGACGCUGAGGCGCGAAAGCGUGGGGAGCAAACA